rnacentral:rRNA from 1 species
CCUACGGGAGGCAGCAGUGGGGAAUAUUGCACAAUGGGGGAAACCCUGAUGCAGCGACGCCGCGUGAGUGAAGAAGUAAUUCGUUACGUAAAGCUCUAUCAGCAGGGAAGAAACACGGACCUUACGGUCAGCAGACGGUACCUGAGUAAGAAGCCCCGGCUAACUACGGGCCAGCAGCCGCGGUAAUACGUAGGGGGCAAGCGUUAUCCGGAUUUACUGGGUGUAUAGGGAGCGUAGACGGUGCGCUAAGUCUGAAGUGAAAUGCAUCAGAAUAACUGCGGAACGGCUUUGGAAACUGGUGAACUAGAGUGCGGGAGGGGUAAGCGGAAUUCCUAGUGUAGCGGUGAAAUGCGUAGAUAUUAGGAGGCACACCGGUGGCGAAGGCGGCUUACUGGACCGUAACUGACGUUGAGGCUCGAAAGCGUGGGGAGCAAACAGGAUUAGAUACCCGAGUAGUC